UUACCGGUCGGCGACGCUACUGCUUUGGAUACUUUCAGGACCCGUCUUGAAACACGGACCAAGGAGUCUAACAUGUGCGGGAGUCACUGGGUUAUCGUUAAAAUUGAUCAAGCCUAAAGUCGCAAUGAAAGUGAAGGUCGUCCCUCGAGGACGGCCGAGGGAGGAUGGCCCGGGGUUCUUGUUGGUCCCGGGCUCGCACUCCCGGGGCGUCUCAGGGUCAUCGCGACUCGAGGCGCACCCAGAGCGUACACGUUGGGACCCGAAAGAUGGUGAACUAUGCCUGGUCAGGACGAAGUCAGGGGAAACCCUGAUGGAGGUCCGUAGCGAUUCUGACGUGCAAAUCGAUCGUCGGAACUGGGUAUAGGGGCGAAAGACUAAUCGAACCAUCUAGUAGCUGGUUCCCUCCGAAGUUUCCCUCAGGAUAGCUGGCACUCGCUCGAUAUGCGAGUCUCAUCUGGUAAAGCGAAUGAUUAGAGGCCUUGGGGCCGAAACGACCUCAACCUAUUCUCAAACUUUAAAUGGGUGAGAUCUCUGGCUUGCUUGAACGUUGAAGCCAAGAGAUAUUUAAGGAUCAGAGUGCCAAGUGGGCCAAUUUUGGUAAGCAGAACUGGCGCUGUGGGA
rnacentral:rRNA from 1 species